rnacentral:lncRNA from 1 species
AUGGCUGCCGGAGGCCCACUUCCCGCCCAAGGUGUGCGCACCCAGCCGUGCAGCGCCGGGCCAGAGCCGGGUGCGAGUGUGCAGCCGCCACGAGCGAGCACCGCAGGGGUUAAAGGAGGCGGUGGCGGCAGCGGCGGGGGGCCGACUGCCGCUGACUCCGGGAAGGGGGCGGUGCACGCCGCACCCGCCUGCUGGCCCGGGAUUGAGCCGGGCAGCAGCGCCCUCCGCUUGCUCAGUUGCUCCCAGCAGUGGCCUUGGGACCAGCUCGGCUCCCACUGCCCGCUCCUGCUUGGACACCAAGCUCACUCACCGCCUUCAUCUCCGCAACCAGCUUCCUGCCAGUCGCCACUGCUGCCUCGCCACUGCCCACCCGCCACUUGGCCCAGACCCUUACCCCACCCAGUGGCUCCUGUGCUGGAAAGGUGGCUGCCCCCUGUGUUCCUCCAUCUAGCCAUGAACUGGUGGUGAGUGACAGCCCCUGCCUUCCCCUGCUGGCCCCUCCUGCAGCCCCACAGCAGCAGCUCGCUUUGGACCUAAGGGGGUUGGUGGUCUGGGUGUUGGGCAGGUAGGAGGGUGGAGAAGGGUCGCCAUCCCUGGGCUGAAGUGGAUGGGGAGGAAGUGAGUCAUGAUAUGCCUUUGGAUGAAGAGGCAAGGCCUGUUCUUUAAGUCUGGAGACUAAAAACCCAUAAAAGGCCAUCUCGUGUGUCUCGCAGCCUGGCCAGGUGCCUGUUAUCCCAGGCAGGGCUUAGAGGACCAGGGCAUGCUGUGCGACUCCUUCCACCCGCCUAGUCCUGGGUUAAGUGCCUUUCAGAUGGACGCAGGAGAUGGAUGGUGUGAUCCAGCAUCCAAUCACCUGGCCAUUUCCCACAUCCAGGUGACCUUCUGUUCCACCCCAGCCUCCUUGGCUUGACUCUGCUUUUCUGCUUUUGCCAUCCUCCCCUUCUCUCCCAUGACAUCAGUCUUCCAGAACAUCCCGGACAGGGGCAGGACCCCUGUGAAGUGUGGGCUGUGGAGAAGGCUAGGCUCCAGACUGAUCCCAUCUGGCUGAUGGGGAGCCUUGGCAGUGCUUCCUGCCUCCCAUUCCCCCCCUUACCCUGCACAGGUCCCCCUUUCCUCUCACUGUUGGAGGCAGGCAAACCUUUGGGGGCCUCUGGGAGCCUCUGGGGGAGGAAUCUGUGAGCAUUCAUGAGUGUGUAUGCAUGGUGGUAGAGGGGUUUCACAGAGGGACGCCAGGAGGGCACAGCUCAGUGGGCUGGUGAGGGGUGCCUGAGAUGGUGCUGAUGUUGGGUGGAGUCUGAGGGUAGGGGCAAGAGUGUCACCAGACAGUUGUUGGUGUCCUAUGCACCAGUGUGAUCACUUGCUCAACCCAUACAUGGGAUGCACAGUCAGACCACCUUAUCUCCCUCUUCUCUAACACCCAUUUGCCGUGUGACCAUAGGUUGGUCUCUCCUCUUCCUUUCUGGGCCUU